rnacentral:tRNA from 1 species
GGGAUGUAGCUCAGUGGUACAGCAAUUUCCUGAGGCCCUGGGUUCCAUUCCCAGCAUCACCA